rnacentral:tRNA from 1 species
GGUUUGUUGCUCAGCGGUACAGCGCGCUCACCUAGCAGCGUGAGAGGCCCUGGGUUCGAUCCUCAGUACCA